rnacentral:tRNA from 1 species
CGCGGGGUGGAGCAGCCCGGUAGCUCACCAGGCUCAUAACCUGGGGGUCGCAGGUUCAAAUCCUGCCCCCGCAACCA